AAAGGUAAAGGUUUCCCCUGACGUUAAAUCCAGUCAUGUCUGACUCUGGGGGUUGGUGCUCAUCUCCAUUUCUAAGCCAAAGAGCUGGCAUUGUCCAUAGACACCUCCAAGAUCAUGUGGCUGGCAUGACUGCAUGGAGCGCUGUUACCUUCCCACUGGAGCGGUACCUAUUGAUCUACUCAUAUUGGCAUGUUUUCGAACUGCUAGGUUGGCAGAAGCUGGAGCUAACAGCGGCCACUCAUGCCGCUCCUGGGGUUUGAACCUGGGACCUUUCGGUCUGCAAGUUCAGCAGCUCAGUGCUUUAACACACUUUGCCACCGGGGCUUCAUUCUGCAUCAAAGGUGCAGCUAAUUUAUCAUAGCUAUGAUCUUCUCCUAAUCCAAACAUUGAAACCUGCUUUUAAAACCAGUUGGUAAUUCUGAACAAUGGUGUGUUGCAGUACAGGUGAACAAGACACUGCAAGAUGACACAAUCCACUUCAAUGGUGUCAAGAGAAGAAGCAGAAACCCCUGUGCGGUAGUCACAACUCUCUGUUGCAUCAUUUCUCAUUGGUGGGAGGAAGCUGGUUGUGCCACCAUGCAGCACCCUCCUGGCCAGCUUCCCAGAACUCCAUUCAGAAUGGCUGAGUGGCUUUUAAGAUUGGUUUAGGGACACUUGCAAUCAUCACCAUGGUACCCAUGAUUUUAUAUAUGAAUAGAAAAUAGUUCCAUUGUCUUAGGUCUAAGGAAUGACAUGGUAAAUGACUCAUAGGAUGCCAACCAUAGAUUUACAUUUCUCCUUUUCUUUUUUGUUGUCUCAAUUUAGAUUGCCUUGUCUAUAUAUCAGAAAGCACAGAAUGUGGGCAAACCUUCCUUCAAUGUUAUCAAACAGGAAAGGGGAGAUAAAUUCUGUCCAAAACUGAUGAAUAUCAUAGAUUCCUGUUUGGAGCCCACACCUAUCUUUGAGAAAGAGGCACUCUGAUUCAAGCAACAGCAGUCUCACAUUACUUUUAUGAGGUUUCCAGUCUUCAGCUUGAGCUACAUGAAAGUGAUAGAAAACAGUGGGAAAACACUAACGUUUUUGGAAGGCAGGAAGGAAGCCUAGCCCAGCACACAGUUGCACAGAAGGUCACAAAACUCUUCCAGCCAUCUGGACAAAACUCCCACACAAAUGCAUCAAGUCCACUAAAGACAAAAGGAUCCUCCAAUGGACAUCAAAAAUAUAAAAGGAAAAGAAAACUCAGGAAAUGAGGAAGAAAAAAUCAUGAAUUAAAGAACACAUCUGAAACCCA